rnacentral:rRNA from 1 species
CACGUAGGCACCAAGCGUUGUCCGGAUUUAUUGGGCGUAAAGAGCUCGUAGGCGGUUCAGUAAGUCGGGUGUGAAAACUCUGGGCUCAACCCAGAGACGCCACCCGAUACUGCUGUGACUUGAGUACGGUAGGGGGGUGGGGAAUUCCUGGUGUAGCGGUGAAAUGCGCAGAUAUCAGGAGGAACACCAGUGGCGAAGGCGCCACUCUGGGCCGUAACUGACGCUGAGGAGCGAAAGCGUGGGUAGCAAACGGG